CAUCAAGCUUUUUCUAUAUUGGUCCUACAGGAAAAAAUAAAAGUGGGUAAAAUGUUUGAGAAAAAAAUUGAUAACCAACUGAUCAUACUCUUGGCGAAGUUAAACCAUUUUACAUGAAGUGUUUUAGAAGUUGUUGCUCCAGUAAUGUUGCGGUAGUUUGACAGACAAGAGCAGCAACCAUUUUCUUUUUUUGUUUUUACAGAACCACCUGAAUCAUCCCAAAAAAUUCAUAAAGUACACCAUGAUAAAGACGAUGACAAUGACCUUUCUGUUGUUGCGGUGGAAACCAUAACUCCAGAACCAGGUGAGUUUGUAUUUACUUAGAAAGAAAUUACUUUGAAUGUGCAAUCAUGGUAUAAGAUAGACCAAGCCAACGUAUUUGAAAAUGAACCACAUCUACCACAACUGUUUGCUGAAAUGUUUUAGCUUUAACAAAAAAAAAAAAAAAAAAACAGCCAAUACCAGUCUUGUUCUAUUGUACUUUUAUGGAAAUAUAAAUACUUGAUCUUGCACUAAUGCCACUUUUAUAUACUCCAUAUUACACAAGGUAAAUUUUUAGUUAUUUAGCAGGCACUUGUAUGUACCAUUAUGUACCAGAUGUAUGUACCAGAUGUAUGUACCAUAACUGUAUUUUGCUACAUUGUUUGUUUUUAAAGGACAAGAUGAUGGGUCUUCCUCUAUGGUGGAAAAAGACAAGCUGAUGCUCAUGGCCCAGACAAUACAAACACUUAAACAGGAACGAGAUUUUCUCCGCCAAACUGUCCUAAAAUUGUCAAACAGAGGGGCAAAAAAAGUAAAGAAAGUCUUGGACACAAGCACUGAAUGCAGCACCAGUAACACUGAUGAGGAGUCCAUGACUUCUUCCUCCUCUUCAGAUUCACCUGAUAGUGAUAUUCCUCGGAAGAAGAGAAAGAGUCAUAAGAAGACAAAGAGGGCCAGCAGGUCAAAAUCUACCAAGCACAGCACACGUGCUUUUAUCUUUCUACAGCAACAACCCCUGAUGACGUACUAAGGCGGUACAACAAAGUUUUCAAUGCCUAUAAAAAAGAAGGGAGCAUUAGUAAAGCAUGUGCCAAAGUUGGGGUUGACCGUAAUACUCUCGCAUUAACAGCUGUUGUGGCUGAAAUUCAGCUUGUUGAUGCUGAGUUUUACAGAAGCAUCCCUAAAUUCAGAACCGAGGAGAAACUUUUUGACUUUGCCAAGAGGUGCCUGCAGUCGCUGACAACAGACUUAAAAUCUGUCAUUGAAAACGCCAAACAAGAGCGCAAACUUCUGCCAAUAAAGUAUAAGUUCAGAUAGAAAUAUACAAAUCUCUUAUGUGCAGAUGUUGUUUAAAGUUAAAUUGUAGAUUCACAUCAGUAGUUAUUAAUUGUUACCCCAUUUGUCGUUCCAACCCCUGAGACCUGAAAUGACACUGAAGAGAAUAAAAUGUAAAAUAAUGCGUUUUUUGUCCACACAAAAGUAUUAUCAUAGCUUCAUAGCAUUACAAUUGAACCACUGAAGACAAAUGUACUCUUUUGAUGUUAUUGGUACUGUAUCUUUCUAGACUUUAAAUGCCUUGCAACUCUGGCUUUCUAUGGAGGGUCAGAUAAUUCUAAAAUAUAUAUAAUAUAAUAAUAUAUAAUGAUAAUAAUAAUAAUAAAUAAUCAGCUAAAAUAUUUUUACAAAUAAAAUAAAAAAGUAGAUUUUUUUAUUUUAUUUUCUGAAUGAAGGACUCAGGUUUGGAAUAACAGCAGGGGGAGUAAUUAAUAAUUUCAUUUUUGGGUAAACUAUCCCUUCAAUGUGAAUUGCUGUACGUUUAAUGUGAUAUGAUGUUACUUCCAACAUUUAUCUAAAAGUUUUAAUUUACUCUAAGAUUUUUUUUGUUUAUGGCAUUAUGUUUAAUCUCUUUAAUUUAAUAGUGUCUGUAAGGUUCUAUAUUGCAGCCAUAUUUCUAAGGUUUUUCUUUAUGUGUUGCACUGUUGAGAAUAAAAAUGUUAAUAAACAUUGUUUACCUUUGCUGCAUGUUUUCUCUUUUUUAGUCCUCUAUAGUCUACUUAUUGAAAAACAUUUGUGGAUUAAUACUUUGGAAUUUAAUACUAUUACUUUUAGGUUCACAGUUACAAUAGAAUUAACAUGGAACAUUUCAGAAUGUAGGUGAGAAGUACAUGGAUUCAUCAGUGGAUGAAUCAGUAAUUUGUGACAAAUUUACACUUGAGUGGAC